CGAGCGAACCGACGGGAGCUUGCUCCCUUAGGUUAGCGGCGGACGGGUGAGUAACACGUGGGUAACCUGCCUGUAAGACUGGGAUAACUCCGGGAAACCGGGGCUAAUACCGGAUGCUUGAUUGAACCGCAUGGUUCAAUUAUAAAAGGUGGCUUUUAGCUACCACUUACAGAUGGACCCGCGGCGCAUUAGCUAGUUGGUGAGGUAACGGCUCACCAAGGCGACGAUGCGUAGCCGACCUGAGAGGGUGAUCGGCCACACUGGGACUGAGACACGGCCCAGACUCCUACGGGAGGCAGCAGUAGGGAAUCUUCCGCAAUGGACGAAAGUCUGACGGAGCAACGCCGCGUGAGUGAUGAAGGUUUUCGGAUCGUAAAACUCUGUUGUUAGGGAAGAACAAGUACCGUUCGAACAGGGCGGUGCCUUGACGGUACCUAACCAGAAAGCCACGGCUAACUACGUGCCAGCAGCCGCGGUAAUACGUAGGUGGCAAGCGUUGUCCGGAAUUAUUGGGCGUAAAGCGCGCGCAGGCGGUUUCUUAAGUCUGAUGUGAAAGCCCCCGGCUCAACCGGGGAGGGUCAUUGGAAACUGGGGAACUUGAGUGCAGAAGAGGAGAGUGGAAUUCCACGUGUAGCGGUGAAAUGCGUAGAGAUGUGGAGGAACACCAGUGGCGAAGGCGACUCUCUGGUCUGUAACUGACGCUGAGGCGCGAAAGCGUGGGGAGCGAACAGGAUUAGAUACCCUGGUAGUCCACGCCGUAAACGAUGAGUGCUAAGUGUUAGAGGGUUUCCGCCCUUUAGUGCUGCAGCAAACGCAUUAAGCACUCCGCCUGGGGAGUACGGUCGCAAGACUGAAACUCAAAGGAAUUGACGGGGGCCCGCACAAGCGGUGGAGCAUGUGGUUUAAUUCGAAGCAACGCGAAGAACCUUACCAGGUCUUGACAUCCUCUGACACCCCUAGAGAUAGGGCU
rnacentral:rRNA from 2 species